rnacentral:rRNA from 1 species
UGGGGAAUUUUGGACAAUGGGCGAAAGCCUGAUCCAGCAAUGCCGCGUGUGUGAAGAAGGCCUUCGGGUUGUAAAGCACUUUUGUCCGGAAAGAAAUCCUUGGCUCUAAUACAGUCGGGGGAUACGGUACCGGAAGAAUAAGCACCGGCUAACUACGUGCCAGCAGCCGCGGUAAUACGUAGGGUGCAAGCGUUAAUCGGAAUUACUGGGCGUAAAGCGUGCGCAGGCGGUUUGCUAAGACCGAUGUGAAAAUCCCCCGGGCUCAACCUGGGAACUGCAUUGGUGACUGGCAGGCUAGAGUAUGGCAGAGGGGGGUAGAAUUCCACGUGUGACAGUGAAAUGCGUAGAGAUGUGGAGGAAUACCGAUGGCGAAGGCAGCCCCCUGGGCCAAUACUGACGCUCAUGCACGAAAGCGUGGGGAGCAAACAGGAUUAGAUACCCUGGUAGUCCACGCCCU